rnacentral:rRNA from 1 species
CCUACGGGAGGCAGCAGUGAGGAAUCUUGGUCAAUGGCCGGAAGGCUGAACCAGCCAUGCCGCGUGAAGGUCAGUGCCCUUUGGGCGUUACACUUCUUUUGUUCGGGAGCAAUAAUGGUCACGUGUGGCCAGCCGAGAGUACCGUACGAAUAAGCAUCGGCUACCUCUGUGCCAGCAGCCGCGGUCAUACGGGGGAUGCAAGCGUUAUCCUGAUUUUGUGGGUUUAAAGGGUGCAUAGGCUGGGAGGUAAGUCAGCGGUGAAAUGCCCCCGGUCAACGGGGUGAAGUGCAAUUGAUACUGCCUUGCUGGAAUGCGGAUGCGGAGGGAGGAAUGUGUGGUGUAGCGGUGAAAUGCAUAGAGA